rnacentral:tRNA from 1 species
GAGGGUAUAGCUCAAGUGGUAGAGCACAUGCCUAGCAUGCAUGAGGUCCUGGGUUCAAUCCCCAGUACCUCCU